UCAGACGAUGCGUCAUGCAUAUCAAUAAGCGGAGGAAAAGAAACUAACAAGGAUUCCCCUAGUAACGGCGAGUGAAGCGGGAAGAGCUCAAAUUUGAAAUCUUAAAGGGUUUCCCUUUACGAAUUGUAGGUUUAAAGAAGUGUUUUCUGUUGAGGUUUUGGCUAAAAGUUCUUUGGAAUAGGACAUCAUAGAGGGUGAGAAUCCCGUAUUUGACCUUUACUUUCAACUUUGUGAUACACUUUCAAAGAGUCGGAUUGUUUGGGAAUGCAGUCCAAAAUGGGUGGUAAAUUUCAUCUAAAGCUAAAUAUUGGCGAGAGACCGAUAGCGAACAAGUACCGUGAGGGAAAGAUGAAAAGAACUUUGAAAAGAGAGUUAAACAGUACGUGAAAUUGUCAAAAGGGAAGCGUUUGCCACCAGUGUUGUUUUUCUGAAAAUCAAUUAAAGUACUGUUUAUGCUAAGUUGUUUAGACUUUAUCAGCUAUCUGUUUAGUUUUGAGCUUUUCUUUAAUGCACUUUUCAGUUAACAAGUCAACAUCAAUUUCUUUUGCUGUAAAAAAGCUUGAGGAAGGUGGCUUGAGAUUCGUCUUAAGUGUUUAUAGCCUCUUGCCUAUGCAGUCGGAGAGAUUGAGGUCUGCAGCGUAGAUCCUUCGGGGCUAAAUGCAUUUGUGCUAAGUUAUAGCAUUUUAUAGACAACUUGUUGACUAUGAUUUGUCUUGUAGCUUACUCGCUUAUGUUAUUUUACCUACGCUUAGGAUGUUGAGCGCAUGUCUCUCUCU
rnacentral:rRNA from 1 species